UGGGGAAUAUUGCACAAUGGGCGCAAGCCUGAUGCAGCCAUGCCGCGUGUAUGAAGAAGGCCUUCGGGUUGUAAAGUACUUUCAGUCGGGAGGAAGGUGGUAAGGUUAAUAACCUUGGCAAUUGACGUUACCGACAGAAGAAGCACCGGCUAACUCCGUGCCAGCAGCCGCGGUAAUACGGAGGGUGCAAGCGUUAAUCGGAAUUACUGGGCGUAAAGCGCACGCAGGCGGUUGAUUGAGUCAGAUGUGAAAUCCCCGGGCUUAACCCGGGAAUUGCAUCUGAUACUGGUCAGCUAGAGUCUUGUAGAGGGGGGUAGAAUUCCAUGUGUAGCGGUGAAAUGCGUAGAGAUGUGGAGGAAUACCGGUGGCGAAGGCGGCCCCCUGGACAAAGACUGACGCUCAGGUGCGAAAGCGUGGGGGGCAAACAGG
rnacentral:rRNA from 1 species